UCGGGAAUUUUGGGCAAUGGGCGAAAGCCUGACCCAGCAACGCCGCGUGAGGGAUGAAGUAUUUCGGUAUGUAAACCUCGAAAGAAUGGGAAGAAUAAAUGACGGUACCAUUUAUAAGCUCCGGCUAACUACGUGCCAGCAGCCGCGGUACUACGUAGGGAGCAAGCGUUGUUCGGAUUUACUGGGCGUAAAGGGCGCGUAGGCGGCGCGGUAAGUCACUUGUGAAAUCUCUGAGCUUAACUCAGAACGGCCAAGUGAUACUGCUGUGCUAGAGUGCGGAAGAGGCAACCGGAAUUCUUGGUGUAGCGGUGAAAUGCGUAGAUAUCAAGAGGAACACCUGAGGCGAAGGCGGGUUGCUGGGCCGACACUGACGCUGAUGCGCGAAAGCCAGGGGAGCAAACG
rnacentral:rRNA from 1 species